GAUGAACGCUAGCUACAGGCUUAACACAUGCAAGUCGUGGGGCAGCGGAUGCUUAGCUUGCUAAGUAUGCCGGCGACCGGCGCACGGGUGAGUAACGCGUACCGAACCUGCCCAUCACACAGGGAUAGGCUUGCGAAAGCAAGAUUAAUACCUGAUGGUCUCAGUUGUAUGCAUGUAUGAUUGAGUAAAGCCUUCGGGCGGUGAUGGAUGGCGGUGCGUCCCAUUAGGAAGUUGGCGGGGUAACGGCCCACCAAUCCUUCGAUGGGUAGGGGUUCUGAGAGGAAGGUCCCCCACAUUGGAACUGAGAUACGGUCCAAACUCCUACGGGAGGCAGCAGUGAGGAAUAUUGGUCAAUGGGCGAGAGCCUGAACCAGCCAAGUAGCGUGCGGGAUGAAGGCCCUUGUGGUCGUAAACCGCUUUUAUCAGUGAAUAAAGUGCACCACGUGUGGUGUCAUUGCAGGUAGCUGAAGAAAAAGGACCGGCUAAUUCCGUGCCAGCAGCCGCGGUAAUACGGAAGGUCCGGGCGUUAUCCGGAAUUAUUGGGUUUAAAGGGAGCGCAGGCGGGAGUGUAAGUCAGCUGUUAAAUAUCAGGGCCCAACUCUGUUAUGCAGUUGAAACUAUAUUUCUUGAGUACGCACAGGGAUGGCGGAAUUCAGGGUGUAGCGGUGAAAUGCUUAGAUAUCCUGAAGAACUCCGAUCGCGAAGGCAGCCAUCCGGAGCGUAACUGACGCUGAGGCUCGAAGGUGCGGGUAUCGAACAGG
rnacentral:rRNA from 1 species